UCGAGAAUUUUUCACAAUGGGCGAAAGCCUGAUGGAGCGACGCCGCGUGGGGGAUGAAUGGCUUCGGCCCGUAAACCCCUGUCAUCUGGGAACAAUUCCUAUCUAAUAACAUCAGGUAGGUUGAUAGUACCGGAAGAGGAAGGGACGGCUAACUCUGUGCCAGCAGCCGCGGUAAUACAGAGGUCCCAAGCGUUGUUCGGAUUCACUGGGCGUAAAGGGUGCGUAGGCGGUCGGGUAAGUCUGAUGUGAAAGCUCGGAGCUCAACUCCGAAAUGGCAUCGGAUACUAUUCGGCUCGAGGAAUGGAGGGGAGACUGGAAUGCUCGGUGUAGCAGUGAAAUGCGUAGAUAUCGAGCGGAACACCAGUGGCGAAGGCGAGUCUCUGGACAUUUCCUGACGCUGAGGCACGAAAGCCAGGGGAGCAAACGG
rnacentral:rRNA from 1 species